GGGUUGCUAACUCAAUGGUAGAGUACUCGGCU
rnacentral:tRNA from 1 species